GACGAACGCUGGCGGCGUGCUUAACACAUGCAAGUCGAGCGGUAAGGCCCUUUCGGGGGUACACGAGCGGCGAACGGGUGAGUAACACGUGGGUGACCUGCCCUCAGCUCUGGGAUAAGCCUGGGAAACCGGGUCUAAUACUGGAUAUGACUCCAUGACGCAUGUUGUGGGGUGGAAAGCCUUGUGCGGCUGAGGAUGGGCCCGCGGCCUAUCAGCUUGUUGGGGGGUGAUGGCCUACCAAGGCGACGACGGGUAGCCGGCCUGAGAGGGCGACCGGCCACACUGGGACUGAGACACGGCCCAGACUCCUACGGGAGGCAGCAGGUGGGGAAUCUUGCGCAAUGGGCGAAAGCCUGACGCAGCGACGCCGCGUGAGGGAUGACGG
rnacentral:rRNA from 1 species